rnacentral:lncRNA from 1 species
UGUGAGACUCUAGAAUCUUUCUCCAUAUUAUAGUGAUUUUUGAAAUUUUUGGGAUGCGAAAAGGAGAUUUUGGCAUUGACUCUUGGUGCCCUUCUUUGGAAAAUCUUAAUUCUUAGUCUAUAAAAAGGGGUCCUCUCUUUUGGACGUCCUAUGAUAAUUCUCUUGGUGUUUUUUAUUUUUAGAGCCUCUUCUCCUCCUUUUCUACUCCUCCUCUUGAUCCUCUCUUGCUUUGGAGUGUCUAAGGUACUUGA